GCCCCCGGGGUCUGCCCCCGGGUUUGCAGAGUAGCUGGAGCAGUGGCCUCUCCUAAUGCUUUGAAGGGUCAGAGGACAAAGAAGGCAAUGGAUGCGAAGGACCUGGAACAAGGGCCUGGAAUACCACUCACAGUGUCACUAUUGAGAGCCAUCCACCACCUUAUUUCUAGAGAUAUUAGGCCAUUAUUUCAACCAAGUGUGUGUUGGACUUUAACCUGAGAAUAUGGCACAAGCUUUGAAGUUGGACUUUUUUUUUAAAACUGUACGCUGACCCUGGUUCAACCAUCUGAAAAUCAACUGGAAUUUAUAUAUAUAUUUAGGUAGCCACAUAGAUAGACCUAUCCAUGUUUACAAAGACUGCUGCAGAGCAUCUUACCUGGGGGACAGACACACAGAACCAGUGUGUGAAGCCUGGCCUUGGAACCAGCAGCCUUGGGCAUCUGACCCUGACCAGUCCCAUCCAUCCAAGUCCCUCUUUCUCCUUGGGAAAAUAGCGAAAACAG
ensembl:lncRNA